rnacentral:lncRNA from 1 species
AGAGAGAGAGAGAGAGAGAGAGAGGGGCGCAGUUGGGGGAGGCUUCUCGGCGAAGGCGCGAAGUCGUCGUCGUCUACGACGCAGUUAAGGUCGUGGCCGUUUUAAACCGUUAGAUUGGGGAGCCCAAUCGAGCCACCGAUUGGAUGUGGGCCACCGUCUGAUCGGUGGUCCCUCCACCGUCCGUGGAUCUCUCUGGGACCUUAGGUACCACGACUGAUAGGGGCGUCCGUCGCCGCCGUGGUCUCCGCCGCCGCCGCCGCCGCCGCCAGGGAAGGCACAGAGGAGCGAGAGGCGCCGCUCCUUUUCUCUCCUCCCGCGAUGGGGAUGAAGAAGCCGUUCGCUGAUGCCGUUGGCCGUCUCGAAGAGAGGUAAGAUGUGAUCGAUAUUGAUUCUCGAGAUUUCUCGCCGGCCGAUGCGUCGAAGCUUGGGGUUAUUUGGGGCCGUAGAUCUCCUCAGUGGCGUCGAUUGACCUUGUUCUUCUCUGAAACUUGGAUCUCCGCCGGUGAAUCCAUACCUCACAGUCGCUCAAACUUCGUGCGAGGUCGGGACUGGGAUGCUAUUCUUCGGAAGAGAAUUGCAAAAUGUUCCCAUAAUUCCCGCCGACGGAAGUCGACUGCGAUGGGACUCUGGUUCUUCAGUAUCGCAGGGAUGAACAUCUAUCUAAAAAGUUUGAGAUCUCCUCUCUGGCGCAGAUAAACUUUGUUCUUCUCCGAGAUUUGAAUCUCCGCCGGCGAAUUCAUACCUCACAGUCGCCCAAUCUUCCGUGCUAGGCCGGGAAUGGGAUGGCAUUCCCGCCGACGGAAGUCGUCUGGGAUGGGAAAUUAGAUUGGCCUAGUUCUUCUCUGAGACGCGGACUGAUGUUCCUAUGAGGAGAACUCGAAAAUAUGAUGUGAAAUCCCGCCAAUGGAAGUCAUCUACGAUGGAGCUAGGCUCGUCAGCUUCUCUGGAAUGAAAGAUCUCAUGAAUUGACAGUACUCCCUGCCCAACAAUCCUAUCGCAGGAAGGUAGAUCUACAUGGUCCUGAGAAUCUCUGGCUCUGGCAUACCACUCUGUAGGAUUCUUGUAGCCCGCCCCCCAACCACUCUGUUCCAUAGAUGGGAAAUUAGAUUGGCCUAGUUCUUCUCUGAAACAAUUUAAACCUUGAUUUUAGAAGAAGAAUUGGAAAGGAAAGUUACUUUUUCAUGAAUCAAGUAUUCACAGAAACAAAGCACGGCGUGAGGCUGGAAACCUCAACCAGAUAUGACACUGAUCACGUCGAACACCAAGGGCAGCAACACAGAUUAAUAGAGAAUUAGCUCCGUUAUUCUUCAUGGGUGGUGGAGAUCGCACCUGCCGCUCCAACGCCAAAAUCCCCAGGGGUCAAUAUGACAGGAGGAUGGAUUCUAUGAGGUCGUGAAGUGGUGCAAGCUCCCCCUUUUCGAUUAAACGGAAUUCCUGCACAGAGAGAACAGGUUCUUAUGCCUUGAUCACCAACCCUAAGGCCAAUCAUUCCGAUUUUUUUUUUCUAUGUAUUAUCAUUGGCCUGCUGAAUUCCACACCUCAGAUACAUUUAAUACUAUGGAUGUUCUCAAUGAUGAUUCUAUCUUAAUAAAGCCCACACUUUGCCAUGCUCUUGCAAAUGCGAAGCAGCAUUAGGAACAUAUUCAUGUGUCCCGAUUCAUCUCCACUGUGUCUUAAACUUAGUUGCUGCUGGUGUUUUAUCUGUUAUGGUAUAUGAAUUAGAGAGUGGUGGAGGAUUGGAAAAGGGGAUUAGAUUUAUUUCUCCAGCUUAGGAUGGAGGGAGACUGAAACUGUUCGAGAGAAGAAUAUGCUCUCCAGGCAAACUAUGAUUUCGAGCUUGGAGAAGAGGAGAUGAUCAAGGAAAUGCAUAGCAUGAACUGAACCGCCAUUGAAUGGAAAAAGCUCUCUCACUGAUAGGUAUAGAUAGCACUUCGAGCUAGCUGCUCCAGGGCGAGGCAGAAAAAUGUGGAACAGGGAAAAUAAUCAUGGGCACAUUAAAGACAUAUUUUAGAAUCCAUCGUACGAAUUCAAUGAAAAAAAGAACAAAUUAGGAACGGUGGAGAUAUAAAUCGAACAGCUAUUUUAUUCUAUUGAUUUUGUUUUUUAUUUUCUGCAGCGUCUUCACCACCUCCAAGAUGGGAAGAUCACCACCACUUUCUUUGAAGCGAGGAUGGAGCUGACUUACCCACGUAAACAGGGUGAAAUGUUUGAAGCAGGUAUUGAGAUGAGCUUCCUCCUUGAGGCUGACAAUCUUCUGAAA